CAUUAUCUAUUUACUAUAACUGUAACGUAUUCCACGUUUAAUUCAGCAAAUAACCUGUGCUAUGAAAUCGAAGCCCAUUAACAGAAUUCGUUCUGAUGACUGCAAUGGUAACUUACAACAUUUAAAAGCUUGUUUUGAUAUGAUUGAAAUAUUAAAACUAAUGGGAAGUGGAAUCUGUAAUAUGUGCAAUUCAUUUCAGCCAGCAAAACGUAUUAGCGCAUACAGAAAUCAUGAUUAAGCAUAAAAUAAUAAAAAACAAAUAGUUAGUAUUAUGAAAUUUAAGUCCAACAGUUUUGAAUGUUGCUUCUUUAGCAAAACAAACUUGACCAAAUUUAACUUUUUUGUUCGAUAUUGAAUAAAAUCCGUGAGAUCAAAAAAUAAA